GCGGGGCGGCAGCGGCGGCCGCGGGGGCGCCCGGCGGCGGCAGGAGCGGCGGUCCCCGCGGGGCGCGGCGGCAGGACGGGCAGCCUCCUCCAGCCUCCCUGAUCGCUCUCUCAUCACUUCUGCUUCUCCCAGCCACAGCCCUCACACUUUUCUUUCUCGAUCCCCCUCUUCCUGCCCCCCCACCCCCACCUUCUCCUCCUCCUCGCCGCUCUCUCCCGAGCACUGAUUUGUUUCAAUAAAUCGAGCCCAAAUCCCCCGGCGGCAGCCGUCUCCUCCUCCUCCUCCUCCUCCUCCUCCUCCUUCUUCCCCUCCCGCUCCCCUCUCCGCCUGGCUCAGCUUGAUGCUGCUCAAGUUGUGAUGCAGCCCAAAAAACCGAUCCUUUUCCCCCAAAUCCGAGGCAAAGGCGUGUUUUCCCGGUUGCCUUCGCCUCCACUUGCAAGCCCCCCGCUCAGCCCACCGGCGCCGCUAACCCCAUCACUGCCCCGGCUCCAGCCGCCGCCUCCGCCCGGCUCCUGAAAUAGCCCCGCGGCUGCCGGGGCCGCUCCGACUCGGCGCUGCCCGCCCGUGCGCAGGAUCCGCCCCCUCUGUCAACCAGCCAGGCAGCUCUCCUCCCGCCCCGCAAACUACUUUCCUCUCACGCUUUAUUAUAGGGACGCCUCUGCCAGCCUCUUCCUAUCAGAAAGCCUCAUUUAGGGAGAAAUUUUGAUUUCUCAGUCAUGAGCUAUAUAGCCUUGCCCGUUUUAGUUGUUUUGGAUUUUUUAUCCCCGAGCUAAGACUUCAUGGAAACGCUCUCUCCAGGGACUGGCAGCAACAAAACAACAGCCACCGCAUUAUCUCCCUGCUCAAGACAGAUACAGGUUCACCUAGAGGCAGAGACGAGUAUCCGAGGUUAUCAGCAAGGUCCUGGCUCUGGCUGAACUACAAAAGGCACGGACACGUCUUUUUGGAGUACGAGGAUAUGAAAUUGCAGCCCUUACAUUUGCAAAGCACCCGGAGAGUAAAUGAAAGGGAGGAGAGGCUCGGGCGUGGGAAAGGGGCACAGCCUUAAUGGGGAGAGCAGAGGCUCUCCAGCCGGGAUGUUUCCGAUUCUUCCGCCGGGACACAGCGGACCUUGCAGUAGCCGCGGUGGCUGCCUUAUCUUGUCAGACGAAAGUAAAUGCGUGCUUAGCUUCUCAAGUCCUUGGGUGGCGCGGAUCAUCCACGUCUGGAUGUCAGGGACUGCAGCGCGCUCGGGGGAGGACAGUCCCGGACGUUUUGGGGGGGGUGGGAUGGUGGCAGCACCCUGCGGCGCUCCAGAUCCCCCGCUCAUCUAGGCUCAAGGCAUUACCCCUAAAGGCAAAAGCCCCAAGGUCUGCUGGAGCCUGAGGGCAAAGGCACCGCGGGGCGGGUGGCCAAGGCGGGCAGCUGUUUCUGGCAGUGCCAGGCCGGUGCUGGGGCCAGGUCGCGCUGCCCAGGGAAGAGACAGGACCGCCCGGGCAUCCCCGCUCCUUUCUCCCGGUAAACGAAGGGAACACCGAUUUAUCCUGCGGAAUAGCGCUACCGCAUGAGUAUGCAACAGGUAGUCCUUGCUUUGUAAAGGCUGCCAAGGUGAAAAAAAAGUAUCAUCCAAAUCAGAGCUGUAUUUACAGGUCUCUAGGAAUUGUGAGCAGCACCAGGACAGAGCCCCGGGCAUGGGCAGCGCCAGCCGGGAGAGCGGUGAUGAGCGGGAUGCCGGCGGGGCAGGGGGCCAGGACGGCUCCAGCCCCGGGAGAAAGCCGGCGCUUGGAGCGGCAGCGGAGGGGGAGGCUAGGUCCCUCCCCGUCCCCGGAGGACAAAUCUCCUCGACAGGGCGGUGUGGUCCUUCCGCGAGUGGGCAGGCGAUGAAAGCUCUGCUCCGGGGCACCCAGCGGUGAUGCCAUGCUAUGUUGGUGCAUCACCAACCACAAGCUCCUGCAGGCAAAGAGGACUAAAACUCAUCCUGACUUCUGAGGAGGUGCCCUUGACGAAUAGAGACUGAGAAUAAUGAAAAGCCCAUGACAAGGCAGGGUGACCUCAGCUUGGGAAGGAGACUGGAGAGUUGAUACCUCUGUAAACUGUGUAUCUUUGUGUUCUGUGCACCUUCUUCUCAUUGAAACAUACAGUAAUGUUUGCUGUCCCAAGCAGCACCAGUUCAACCAGGUACCUUAAUAAAGUGAUUUAUUCGCAUUAAUGCUCAAACAAAGUCGGGCUGUGGCACUGAAAACGUGUUGCAAGCAGAACACAUUAGAGGGAGACGCAUGAUCAGUCACAUCAAGAUCCCUUUAUGCUGUACUGGCAGUAUAAGGCAUUUAAUAACAAAGAAAUGCAGCCCCUGUAGCCCUCCCUGGGCAUGUGCCUGGCUGGGUGCAGAUGGCAGAUUUGUGUGGUAUGAGGCCAGCUGUAGGAUUUUGGCUGUGUUCCUCUGUCCUCUGCUGUCGUGCAAUGCCUACUGGAGACCCCUACGAGAAUGGUGUAAACAGGCAUGGCAUGAAUGAGGAUAAGGCCCUAAUAUGAAAGCUAAGUACAUACCACAGAAAUCUCCACUGGGCUAGGCAAAUGCCUGGUAAGAAUUACUGGUAUCAUAUUACUUAUUUAUUUAUAUCAAAACAUUUUUUUUCCUUUACUUAAAACUCAUUAUUGGGUCUUAUAGGAAAACACAGUCACAGACUACCAUGAGCCACUAUUUCUCUUCUCUUUCUUUUUAUUUGCCUGUAAUGUUCAAUUGUUUUCUCUUAUCGUAAAUUAGUCAUGCACUCCCUCCUGGUGGAAUGGUUUCUUAUAUGCUUGUGUAGCUCUUAACAUAAUAGGACAUCUGGGUGUUGGUUGAAUAAUACAAAUAAUCAGACACAA